rnacentral:rRNA from 1 species
GACGAACCGUGCGAACGUUAUUCGGAAUCACUGGGCUUAAAAGCGCGUGUAGGCGGGACGGCACGUCGGUCGCUGAAAGCCCCCGGCUCAACCGGGGAACGGGCGCCGAUACGACCGUCCUGGAGGGACGUAGGGGGACCUGGAACUUCCGGUGGAGCGGUGAAAUGCGUUGAGAUCGGAAGGAACGCCCGUGGCGAAAGCGAGGUCCUGGACGUUUUUCUGACGGCUGAGACGCGAAAGCCAGGGGAGCGAACGGG